CCUUCUUGGCCCUUCUCACUUAGAAGGUGGGUGUUGGGGGUGACCACCAGCGAUGACUGCGAUCUCCAUGAGAGCCCAAUUCUUCAUCUCCGUGGAUCGCAAGGCAAAUGAUAUGAGAUAGUGACCUCACCUCGGUGAGUUACUGCUAUUUCUGUACUGGAUUCAUUACUACAGAGCAAGUUACUAUGGUGAGCCUGCCCUCUCCCUUGCCCUCAGCUUUCUGCUGUGAGUAGAAGGGGCACAAGGCCUUUGCCAGCACUGCUCUCAUGGACUUCCCAGCCUUCAAGAGUCGUGGGCUAAAAUAAACUUCCUAGAAAUUA